rnacentral:rRNA from 1 species
UACGGAAGGCAGCAGUGGGGAAUAUUGCACAAUGGGCGCAAGCCUGAUGCAGCCAUGCCGCGUGUAUGAAAAAGGCCUUCGGGUUGUAAAGUACUUUCAGUCGUGAGGAAGGUGUUAAGGUUAAUAACCUUAGCAAUUGACGUUAGCGACAGAAGAAGCACCGGCUAACUCCGUGCCAGCAGCCGCGGUAAUACGGAGGGUGCGAGCGUUAAUCGGAAUUACUGGGCGUAAAGGGCACGCAGGCGGUUAAUAAGUUGGAUGUGAAAUCCCCGGGCUUAACCUGGGAAUGGCAUUCAAGACUGGUUAGCUAGAGUCUUGUAGAGGGGGGUUAGAAUUCCAUGUGUAGCGGUGAAAUGCGUAGAGAUGUGGAGGAAUACCGGUGGCGAAGGCGGCCCCUGGGACAAAGACUGACGCUCAUGUGCGAAAGCGUGGGGAGCAAACAGGGAUUAGAUACC